UUCAAAGACGCUGGGAUGUGGUCUAGGAUCCUCUUCUCCAUCAUCUACGACCAACUUGAAUUUUGGCAACUUGUUUUUGAAUCCAGAUGUCACCAUGUUUACUCCAAGUGGCUGUGGGAAAGGAUUUUCGUCCACUGCCAUCUUCUUCUUAUCAUCGAACGUAAUUCGUCCUGAUUCAAUGGCAUCCUGCAAUACAUGGCGGAAAACCAAGCAAUUGUUAGUCAAAUGUGA
rnacentral:lncRNA from 1 species